CGUAAAAUGACCUCUACCGUCUUCAGACGGUGACACCUUCUUCUGGCCUCUGCUUUCUCUUUUUCUGAUUCUUCUGCUUUUCAAUUUCAUCAUUGCGACCAUCGGAACUCCCUACCGCCCUCUUUGGUACUCUCUUUAUUUCUCUCACUGUAUAUAUAUAUAUACUUGUUUUUACAUACGUUGUAUAUGUGUAUGAUUUUGAUCUGGGCAAUUGAAGUUCUGAAUUUUGAUUUCAUGGUGUUGGCUUUUAUUUGCGGUAUGAUUACUUGCCCGAAUGGAUAGCUAGUUUUCGUCUUCAUCAGAUUUUUACAUAAUUUCUGAUGUGUUAUCAAGGAAACUGGAGAUGUAAUACAUGUAUAUAUGUUGUAUUAUGUGUAUGAUUUUGAUUUGGACAAUUAAAGGUUUGAGUUGAUGGGGUUGAGUUUAAUUUCUGGUGUGAGUAGUUGCCUGUAUGAAUCGCUACUUUUCCCCUUCUGGGUAUCUGAUUUUUCACUUCAUUUCUCAUGUAUUGCCAAGGAAUCUGAGCCAAAGAUAAACGAAAUGGAAACUGGGGAUUUAUUCUUUGAGUAAUUUCCGCGUGUGUUUUCCUUUUAAAACAGGCAAGUUAAUUUACAGGUUCGUUUUCAUUGUUGCAUCAUGUUGGACUCUGGGUUUCUUGGGAAUCAAUCACGGUACUUGGAACUAAAAAGGAGAGGCUGUGGCUUGGAUUCUUUUCUCGUGAAAAGGAAGAAAAGCAAGAAUAUUGUCGCUUGUUAUGGGUGUCGUCUCGUGUAUUUUCUUUUUAUUUUAAUCUCUUAACGUCUAAAUGUUGGUAUUCUAGGUGCUGCAAGCUAUUUUGAACUUGGGAUUGAUUAAUUGCCGUGCAUCGAUAUCAUUGUCCUUCUGGCUCAUUUAGGACUGCAUUUUGGAAUUAUUGCAGAGAGAGGGGCUGUUGCUGUUAAUUGCACAUCUUUAAGCUAUAGGAAUCCAAGUUUUUAUUUGAUUUGGAUGAUCAAUUUUUGCACAAGUUUUUGGUGAUCUACAAGUCACGCUACAGGUCAGCUUCUUUGUACUUUGUGAUUAGAUUGGCUAGUGGGUUAUUUGCUACAUUCUUCGCAUCAUGCCAGUAGUUCGAAAAUUGUGUGAUACUUGCAAAGAGUCUUUCUCAACUAAUGGUCCAGUAUCAGAAGACGCUCUUGAAAAAGUUCGUGGAAUUCUAGGUGCGGGAAUAAAUCAUCUAGUUUUGUUUCAAAUAGCAAGUCUUUUGUUCUAGUCCAAAAUAAUUAAUGGUUGCAUUAACUUGGAUUAUAUCUAUUGUCUUGACGCUUCUAGUUCUAUAUAAUGCUUUACCAGAUCAAAUGAAGCCUUCUAAUGUGGGUCUCGAACAGGAGGCACAAUAUGCUCGUCAAUGGAAAGGAUACAUCAAUGGUACCAAUGGCAGAAAAGGGCGUAAUGGCAGUCAUCAGUACCCACCUCCAAUAAAAUAUUUGCACUUGCAUGAGUGUAACAGAUUCUCCGUAAGCAAUUAAAAUCAUUAUAGGCAUUAACUGUGCAUUUGAAUUGAAUUUUUUUUUUCCUUCUAACCCAAAGAAUGUUGGUUUCUAAUUUUGUGGAUUUCUUAUGCUCGUGGAUAGCGAAAACUAACUUACAUAUUUAUGUAUUUAUAUUUUGCAUUUGGGACUUCGUUGCAGAUAGGAAUCUUUUGUAUGCCACCUUCCUCUAUUAUACCACUUCACAAUCAUCCUGGGAUGACCGUGUUGAGCAAGCUUCUUUAUGGUUCAUUACUUGUGAAGUCAUAUGAUUGGCUUGAUCUCCCUGGGUUUGAUGAUCCCUCUCAAGAUGUAGUUCCAUCGGCUAAUGUUGGUCUGAGCACCCAAUUCUCAAUUUCUCGUCUUUUGCAUCCUUGUUCAAAGAUUGAGUUUGGUUUGUGGAAAUUUACAGCAAGACCUGCAAAACUGGUAAGAGAUUGUGAAAUGACUGCACCCUGUGGUACAACAGUUCUUUAUCCCACCACUGGUGGCAACAUUCAUUGUUUCAAAGCCUUGACACCCUGUGCUCUCUUUGAUGUUCUUUCACCCCCAUAUUCCUCGGAAGAUGGGCGACACUGCUCUUAUUUCAGAAGGGUCCCUGGAAGUGUUCUACCAGAAGGUGCUGCUCAAUUGUGUGGCAUAGAACCCUCUGAAGUGGCAUGGUUAGAAGAAACUCAGCCUCCAGAAAACGUUGUGGUCCAGAGAGGGCAUUACAAAGGCCCUAAUAUUAGGCGUUAAAAGUUUUCCCCCUUUUUGCUCUUUUGAAUAGGAUGUAAAAUACCAUUAAUUAGAUUAGAUGAACACAUGGAUAACCCUGGAAUUGAUUGCUGAAAAGCUGUCAACUGACUUGGCAAGUAAUAGUUAGUCGUUGGCUUUUGUAAGGUUUUUGUGUGUUACGAUAAAUGCCUAAUCGAAAAAGCAAUUUCUGUUUCUGUCUUACUCUGACGAGUCAUUCGCCAAAAAGAGUAGCCGGAUUUUUCUUUUGGCGAUUGACAAGCAUCAGUAAUCAGUCGAGGAGGGGUGAUAGCUCAGCAUUAUUGUAGGAUGUUCAAUGCACGCAUUUGCACAUGGAUCUCCAAGGAGUGGUCUGGGUUCAAAUAUAAACAAUGGAAACCCCAUGUUUUAUGGAAACAGUGUUCUCUCCUAAGUGCCUAAGGCCUUCUGAGCACAAGAACUAAUGAAAAACUAUUCUGCUG
rnacentral:misc_RNA from 1 species